rnacentral:tRNA from 1 species
GGGCCUGUAGCUCAGUCGGUCAGAGCUGAGGACUCAUAAUCCUUCGGUCGUAGGUUCGAGUCCUACCAGGCCCA